AACUUUCGGCAAUGGAUCUCUUGGUUCUCGCAUCGAUGAAGAACGCAGCGAAAUGCGAUAAGUAAGGUGAAUUGCAGAAUUCAGUGAAUCAUCGAAUCUUUGAACGCACCUUUCGCUCCUUGGUAUGCCGAGUAGCAUGCCUGUUUGAGUGUCAUGAAACUCUCACCCUCUAUCUUUCUUAAUCGUUGCUAGCGGCGUGGACGUGAGCGCUGCUGCUUUGUUGCGGCUCGCUCGAAAUGCAUUAGCAGACCCUCUUCGUAAUCGGUUCCACUCAACGUGAUAAGUAUUUCGUUGAGGACAGUUGCAGCAAUGCGGCUGGCAGGGAUAAGAAAGGCAUAGUUGUCAGCUUUUAAUCGCCCUUGGGCAAUUUUUUAUGAUCUGGCCUCAAAUCAGGUAGGACUAACCGCUGCACUUAAGCAUAUCAAUACGCGGAGGCU
rnacentral:misc_RNA from 1 species